CCGCCCCCGCCAUGGCCGGGGACCUCUCUGCGGCCAUGUCCUACAUCGAAGACGAUUUCUACUGCCCUGUCUGUCAAGAGGUGCUCAAAACGCCUGUACGGACCGCGGCCUGUCAGCACGUUUUCUGUAAAAAAUGUUUCCUUACUACAAUGAGAGAAAGUGGACUACAUUGGGGUCCCCUCUGUCGUGGAAAUGUAACUAGAAGAGAGAGAGCCUGCCCCGAACGGGCUUUAGAUGUUGAAAAUAUCAUAAGGAAGUUUUCUGGUAGUUGCCGAUGCUGUGCAAAACGAUUAAAUGCUAUCUCAUGAGACAUCAUUGCAAGUCGUGUAAGAAGUAUCAGGAUGAAUAUGGUGUUUCUUCUAUCAUUCCAAACUUUCAGAUCUCUCAAGAUUCAGUAGGGAACAGUAAUAGGAGUGAGACAUCCCCAUCUGAUAACACAGAAACUUACCAAGAGAAUACAAGUUUUUCUGGGCAUCCCACUUUUAAGUGUCCAUUGUGUCAAGAAUCCAAUUUUACCAGACAGCAUUUAUUGGAUCACACUGUAACAGUAAUCAACUAUUUCAUAUAAUUCUGUGACAUGUCCUAUUUGUGUGUCUCUUCCACGGAGAGAUCCUAGCCAGAUUACGAGACAUUUUGUUAGUCAUCUAAAUCAAAGACAUCAGUUUGAUUAUGGAGAAUUUGUGAAUCUUCAGCUAGAUGAGGAAACCCAGUAUCAAACUGCUGUUGAAGAAUCUUUUCAAGUCAACAUCUGAAGCUUGUAGACAUCUCUACAUCUUAGUACCUGCAAGUGCCAUCUUUAAGGAGGAAACUACAUAAAGUCACCAUUCAGUAACUUGAUGUUUAUAUUAAUAAAAGUAAUUCAUUCUAUUGUUUAAUUUUUUUAAAUUGAAAAAUAAAUGUGGGCCAUUUAAACACUUCAUCUUGAUAAAAAUGAAAGUUCAGAUGUUAGUUUUUUAAAGCAUGAAAAGGAUUAUUUUUCACAAAUGUGAUGGUGUAAAGGGAAUCCCUGUUGUAACUUUUUUGUUUUAUAUUGAAAUUUUCAUUAUUAUGCUGCUUUUGAAAUUUGGAACCGUUUCCUGCAUUUAUUUCUUUGUACACAGGGAAACA